rnacentral:lncRNA from 1 species
AUACUUGUUGAUUGAAUCCAAGUUGGAGCCAUCCCUCUUAAAUAUUGGAAAGCCCUCAUUAUCGAUGGAUGUUUGGUUGAGUAUUAUCCCUUUGAUGGCAAAAGAUCUUUAAGCUUUUGUUAAACUCAAUCCACCUGUUUCUUUGAAAUUUUUACCACGAACUACGAGAUUUUGAUCCCUCAUUUUUAUGUUGGUAUGUAGGCAUAAGACCGAAGAUUUUGUCAAACACAAAAUUAUAACUAAA